UCCUCAAUAGCUCAGCGGUAGAGCGAUCGGCUGUUAACCGAUUGGUCGUAGGUUCAAAUCCUACUUGGGGAG
rnacentral:tRNA from 1 species